rnacentral:rRNA from 1 species
UACAGAGGUCUCAAGCGUUAAUCGGAAUUACUGGGCUUAAAGGGUCCGCAGGCGGUCUGACAAGUAUCUUAUGAAAUCCCAUGUCUCAACCGUGGAAUCGCUCGAUAAACUGUCAGACUUGAGUGCAAAAGGGGUCGCUGGAACUCUAGGUGGAGCGGUGAAAUGCGUAGAUAUCGGGAGGAACACCUGUGGCGAAAGCGGCUCACUGGACCACAACUGACGCUAGUGCGCGAAAGCUAGGGGAGCAAACAGG